rnacentral:rRNA from 1 species
GACGAACGCUGGCGGCGUGCUUAACACAUGCAAGUCGAGCGGUAAGGCCCUCGGGUACGACGAGCGGCGAACGGUGAGUAACACGUGGGUGACCUGCCCUUAGCUCUGGGAUAAGCCUGGGAAACUGGGUCUAAUACCGGAUAUGACCUCAUGACGCAUGUUGUGGGGUGGAAAGCCUUGUGCGGCUAGGGAUGGGCCCGCGGCCUAUCAGCUUGUUGGUGGGGUGAUGGCCUACCAAGGCGACGACGGGUAGCCGGCCUGAGAGGGCGACCGGCCACACUGGGACUGAGACACGGCCCAGACUCCUACGGGAGGCAGCAGUGGGGAAUCUUGCGCAAUGGGCGAAAGCCUGACGCAGCGACGCCGCGUGAGGGAUGACGGCCU